UGGGCUGAUAAUUGGUAGGGACAAUUUGGU
rnacentral:piRNA from 1 species